UACGAAGGGGCAAGCGUUGUUCGGAAUUACUGGGCGUAAAGGGCGCGUAGGCGGCCGAUCAAGUCAGGCGUGAAAUUCCCGGGCUCAACCUGGGGGCUGCGCUUGAUACUGAUUGGCUUGAAUGCGGGAGAGGAUAGUGGAAUUCCCAGUGUAGAGGUGAAAAUUGUAGAUAUUGGGAAGAACACCAGUGGCGAAGGCGGCUACCUGGACAGAAACUGACGCUGAGGCG
rnacentral:rRNA from 1 species